CAGCGCCGCGGGAAUACGUAGGUGGCAAGCGUUGUCCGGAUUUAUUGGGCGUAAAGCGAGCGCAGGCGGUCAAUUAAGUCUGAUGUGAAAGCCCCCGGCUCAACCGGGGAGGGUCAUUGGAAACUGGUUGACUUGAGUGCAGAAGAGGAGAGUGGAAUUCCAUGUGUAGCGGUGAAAUGCGUAGAUAUAUGGAGGAACACCAGUGGCGAAGGCGACUCUCUGGCCUGUAACUGACGCUGAGGCUCGAAAGCGUGGGUAGCAAACAGGAUUAGAUACCCCCGUAGUCCCUGUCUCUUAUACC
rnacentral:rRNA from 1 species